rnacentral:rRNA from 1 species
GACGUAGGGCGCGAGCGUUGUCCGGAUUUAUUGGGCGUAAAGAGCUCGUAGGCGGCUCGUCGCGUCGUCCGUGAAAACCCGCGGCUUAACCGCGGGCUUGCGGUUGAUACGGGCGGGCUAGAGUUCGGUAGGGGAGACUGGAAUUCCUGGUGUAGCGGUGAAAUGCGCAGAUAUCAGGAAGAACACCGGUGGCGAAGGCGGGUCUCUGGGCCACUACUGACGCUGAGGAGCGAAAGCGUGGGGAGCGAACAGG